rfam:Brassica rapa chromosome A7, whole genome shotgun sequence.
AUCUUUGCGCUUGGGGCAAUGACGCAGCUAAUGAGGUACUAACCGAGGCGCGUCUAUUGCUGGUUGAAAACUAUUUCCAAACCCCCUCCUGGGUCUGAGCUUGUCUUGGGCCUUCGAGAAUUUCUGGAAGGGCUCCCUUCGGGGUAAAGCC